rnacentral:rRNA from 1 species
UACGAAGGGUGCUAGCGUUGUUCGGAAUCACUGGGCGUAAAGCGCGCGUAGGCGGCGAUGCAAGUCAGAGGUGAAAUCCCCAGGCUCAACCUGGGAACUGCCUUUGAAACUGCAUUGCUUGAGUGUCGGAGGGGAUAGCGGAAUUGCUAAUGUAGAGGUGAAAUUCGUAGAUAUUAGCAGGAACACCGGUGGCGAAGGCGGCUAUCUGGACGACAACUGACGCUGAGGCGCGAAAGCGUGGGGAGCAAACAGG